GCGGCCGCCUCUCCACGCCCUGCCCCGGGCCGCCCGCCAGGCCGCCGUUUCCCGGAGCCGGCCCCCUCCCGCCCUCGCGGCCGGCUGAUGUCAUCUGCACACAACUUUCCGCUUCCCGGCCCGUCUCGGGGCCCUGAGUCAUCGCCGCCCCCGGCCCCGACGCUGGCCUGCGGCGUCUGUUUGUGCAGAGCGAGGCCCCGCCGGCCGGGCUUGACGUCAGGCUGGCAGGGCCUGGAACGGCCCCGCAUCGCGGCCCCCUGGGGGCAGGACGACACCGCUGGGGGCCGAGGGCAGGGCACGCCUUCGGAAUCCGGCUUCGAAGCCGGCCGCCUGACCUGGGGCAAGUGCUUUCAACUCUCUGAACUUCGGUUCCUCAUCUGCCAGUUGGCAGACGCUCAGCAAAUCUUCCUAGACUCACGGGGCGAAUUGUACAGUUGGGUAAAUCGAGGCCCAGAGAUGGCAAAAGGACCGUCCAAGGUCGUACAGCCACCCGGAAUUACAAUUCUUUUCUGCCGGGUCACACGCUGUCAUCCACGUGUUACCUAAGAGAGCUUUCCAGCCUGUGCUAAGAAAACUGCCCCACAUCAUCUGCAGUAGGACGGGGGAGUUGGAGCCCUGGUCAGGCCACUCUGCUACUGACCACAGUUUUCUCAUCUCUAAAAAGGCGCAGUAACAAUAUAAUUACCGUAUGCAGUCCCCCAGGAUACAGGGUCAAAGGAGAGCACAACCAUCGCAGUUGGAAGCCCAUGGGGCAGGGCCCAGGACACAGUGAGCAUACAAUAGACAUUAGCUGCUGUGGUGUCUUGAUUUCAAGCCCAGUGCAGAUGCAUCUGACUUACGAAACUUCAGUGACACCUGCUCUGUGCCAGACACUGAAGAUGGAGCAGUGAACAGCACUGACCCAGCCUGUCCUCCUGUUGCCUGCAGGCCAGAAGCAAGGUCUCGCUGUGUUACCCUGGCUGGAGUGCAGUGGCUACUUACAGGCAUGAUCAUAGCAUACUGCAGCCUCGAACUCCUGGACUAGAGCAGUUCUCCUGCCUCAGCCUCCAGAGCAGCUGGGACUGCAGACACGCACCACAGAGCCCAGCCUGAGUCAUUUUGAUUCUGUAACUGGCUUCCUCUCGGCGGGCAGGCUCACACCCUCCACCCCCAGCUGGAGAUGGAAGGAGGAUGCUCACCGCCCAUUCCUCAUGCAGGCCAUCGAUGGAAAUGUCAGACAGUGCGAGUCCACGCCUGAACACUUCUGGGGUCCGCUCUGGGACUGACACUGGCAGAUCCAUCGUGGCACCCGAGCUCUGUGAGGGCAAGACUUUGUUCGGUUGUGGGCUAUGCCCCCAACCCCUCGGACAGUGCCUGCACAGGUGGACAUUUUUGUUGGAUGAAGGAUUUUCUGUUAAAUGUGUCUGGCACACACAGAAAAACAAAGCCCAGCAGGUACGAUGGUGAUUAUUAUUGUUACUGGUGGCGCUCUAUUAUUGUUAUUAGUGUCUGUUGAAAAAGACCCUGAGCUAUACCAGCCCUUGGUUCUCCAGCCUGUGAAAUGGGCAUCCUGGGCACUGAGGCACUAGCCUUGGGAAGCUGAUAGGGGGUCCCUGCAGGAGAGACAAAGAACACUGCCCACCCCCCCGGGGGAGCCUGCGCCCCUCACCGGAAAGAGAAGCAGGGGGGAGCAGAGGGAGCUUGCAGCCCCACACGCAGGGCUGCCAGAAGGCCAUACAUAAUUCAUUGCCAAAUGGGGCUGCGGGCGGCUCUCCGCGGCGUGCGCUGGGGGCUCACUCUGCGCCUGGCACUUCGCUGACUGCGCCUCACACGUUGCCUCAUUGCAUCUUCAUGGAUUUGCAGGGUGUGACCCUUCCCCCUGUUUUACCCAGGGGGAUCCUGAGGCUCAGAGGAUGGGGCCACCGUGCUAGUCACACAGCCUCUCUGUGGCCAAGCUGGGCCUCGGGCCAGCAGAUUCGGCCCCCAGCGGCCCCCAUUCACUGCCUCUCUGCUGAGGGAAAAGACGGGCCUGGGGAGCGGGUGGGAGGCACAAAGGAGACCCCGCUCUGAGACAGGCUGCAGAAGAGGGAGCUGGGUCUCAGCAGGGCUGGGGAAGGCUCUGGCCCCAGCCCUCCGCCCAACCCCCUGCCCUCCUCUCCUGGAGGAGAUGCUCCCCAAAUUAGCCAUCAUGAGCGCUGGCUCUGGGGGUUGGGCGUUGGGGAGCAGUUUGCUCAGCUGUAAAAUGGGAAUAACAGAAGCCGUCCCUGGGACUAUGAGAUCAAGGUGCUCAAGAAAAGUGGUGUCUGCUGAGGGGAAAAGCCAGUCCCAAAAGGUUGCAUACUCUCAUUCUGUUUAUUUGUUUUUGUUUUUGAGACAGGGUCUCGCCCUGUCACCCAGGCUGGAGUACAGUGGCGCAAUAUGGGCUCACUGCAACCUCCACCUCCUGGGCUCAAGUGAUCCUCCCAUCUCAGACCCUCAAGGAGCUGGGGCUACAGGCACGUGCCACCGUGUCCGGCUAAUUUUUGUAUUUUUUGUAGAGACAGGGUUUCACCAUGUUGCCCAGGCUGGUCUCAAACUCCUGAGCUCAGGUGAUCCGCCUGCCUUGGCCUGCGAUAAAAUUGCACAGAAGUAAAUACACACACGUGAGGAUACGGAAAACCGGGGAAACCUGAGCAAGAGCAGUCAGACCCCGGCUGUGAUGGCGCCCAGUAGUUCUGCGAGAUGUUACCAUUGGGGAAACUGAGUGAAGGCGGGUACCUGGGAUCCCUCUGUUUUCUUUUUUGUUGUUGUUGUUAUUUUGAGAUGAAGUUUCCCUCUUGUUGCCCAGGCUGGGUGAUCCACCUGCCUCGGCCUCCCAAAGUGCUGGGAUUACACGCGUGAGCCACUGUGCCCAGCCUCUCUGUUUUAUUUCUUCUUUUUUUUUUUUUUUUUUUGGAGACGCUCUGUCGCCCAGGCUGGAGUGCAGUGGCACGAUAUUGGCUCACUGCAAGCUCCGCCUCCUGGGUUCACACCAUUCUCCUGCCUCAGCCUCCCGAGUAGCUGGGACUACAGGCGCCCGCCACCUCGCCCGUCUAAUUUUUUGUAUUUUUAGUAGAGGCGGGGCUUCACCGUGUUAGCCAGGAUGGUCUCAAUCUCCUGACCUCGUCAUCCGCCCGUCUCGGCCUCCCAUAGUGCUGGGAUUACAGGCAUGAGCCACCACGCCCGGCUGUUUUAUUUCUUAUAACUGUACAGGAAUCUACAAUGAUUGUAACAAAAAUUUCAAUUAAGGCCACUCUAGGCACAUGGCCUGUGGGGUAGCCCUGCUCAACAAGAAGCCGUCAAAAAAAUGUUUUUUAAUUAAAAAAUUUCUUCAAUUAAAAAGCGUUAUCUUCCUCUGCCCGGAAAGGGUUAAGUGAGUCACUGCAGUUAGCUCCCCUUCCCCCACAACCACCUAGACCAGGCCAGGGACCAGCGGGCAAUUGCCUGGCAGCUGGAGUUUUCCUCCACUGUGGACUGUACUUCUUGCGUCACUCUGAAUGUCUCCAGUCUUUAUUCCAGAAUGUUCUGGUCCUCUCCCACUUUUCCAAGGACAGGAAUUCCCUAGUGGGGCUCCAGAAGAGGCUCUGGAGGAGAACAAGAAAGGCCCUUGUCAUCCAUUGGCCUCAGGCUGGGAAAUCUCGGUUCCACUCCCAGCCCAGCCUCAAUAUUAGGUUGUCAGUCUGGAGUCUGAGAGCCAUGCCCCCACCCCCUUAGUCCUUCACCUCCAGGAGAGUUGGGGAUACUGGAAAGAAUGUUGAGUGUCAGAGCCCCUCUCAGUGGCUCACGCCUGAAAUCCCAGCCCUUUGGGAGGCUGAGGCAGGUGGAUUGCUUGAGGCCAAGAGUUCAAGACCAGCCUGGCCAACGCGACGAAACCCUGACUCUACUAAAAAUACAAAAAUUAGCUGGGCGUGGUGGCACACACCUGUAAUCCCAGCAGCUCGGGAGGCUGAGGCAGGAGAAUUGUUUGAACCUGAGAGGUGGAGGUUGCAGUGAGCUGAGAUCACAACACUGCACUCAAAAAGUAGUUAAUUAAUUUAGUUUAAUUAAAAAAGAAUAUUGAGUGUCAGGCAAUCUGGGUAGAACCCAUUGUGUUUCUACAGGAUAGAAUCUGCUGUGUUCUCUAGCGGAACUUCCGGAUCACCUUCACCGUAUGACUCUAGACAAUCCCUGUCCACUCUUCAGUUUUAGAUGCCCCAUUCAAAGAAUGAAAGAAUUGUCCUAGAUGAUCCUUUAGGGUCUUCCAGGCUGAUGACAAGGGGGACCUGGCCCCUCUGCUGCUGGCCAAAGAGGACUUUACUUCCCAUUCCGUGUGGUUGAACAAGAAUUGCUGGGCUCCAGUCCUGCCUUUGGCCCUUCCCUACAUGUGACCUUGGGCCCUCUUUGCCUUUCAGAAUCAAUACAGUGAGAGAGUUAACACAAGCUCAGGUUAGUAAGUCAUUCAACAAACAUUUACUGAGCGCUUAUCAAAUACUGCAUGCUGGAGUGGACACUGGAGAAAAAGGUGAGGAGAAGGCCGGGCGCAGUGGCUCGUGACUGUAAUUCCAGCACUUUGAGGGGCAGAGGCAGGUGGAUUACCUGAGGUCAGGAGUUUGAGACCAGCCUGGCCAACAUGGCAAAACCCCGUCUCUACUAAAAAUACAAAUAUUAGCCAGGCAUGGUGGUGCAUAUCUGUAGUCCCAGCUACUCAGGAGGCUGAGCAGGAGAAUCACUUGAACUCAGGAGGUGGAGCGUGCAGUGGGCCGAGAUUGCACCUCUGCACUCCAGCCUGGGCAACAUAGUGAGACUCUGUCUCAAAUAAAUAAAUAAAGUGAGGAGAAAAAAAUACCAUCUCUGUCUUCACAGAACUUAUAGUUUGAGAGGGGAGAAUCCCACAAGUAAAUUAUAAAUCUCAGCUGAGAUUAUGCAAAGAAGCAAAGGCCGGACGUGGUGGCUCACGCCUGUAAUCCCAGCACUUUGGGAGGCCGAGACGGGCGGAUCAUGAGGUCAGGAGAUUGAGACCAUCCUGGCUAACACGGUGAAACCCUGUCUCUACUAAAAAUACAAAAAAAUUAGCUGGGCGUGGUGGCGGGCGUCUGUAGUUCCAGCUACUCGGGAGGCUGAGGCAGGAGGAUGGCGUGAACCCAGGAGCACAGGUUGCAGUGAGCCGAGAUGGCGCCACUGCACUCCAGCCUGGGCGACAGAGCGAGACUCUGUCUCAAAAAAAAAAAAAAAAAAGGAAGCAAAGUGCCCAGCUGGGAUGGUGGUUUCAGAGGCCACAGUGGGAGCUUCCCAGAGAAGGGAUGAUUGAGCUAAGUCUAAGCAAAAGGGGUGGUCAGGGCAGCAGCUGCUCCAAAACAGGGGCUGGGGGCUUAUGUGGAGAGAGAAGACAUGGAGAGACCAUGCCCAGAAGGAGGCGGCGGCUUCAGUGAACAGUGCAGGGGAGCAGGUCCGAGGAGGCCGCCUACCAGGGGAAGGAGUCUCAUCUCCAUCCUAGACAAAAAAAGGAUCUUUUGAGAUGCAUUAAGCAGGGGAGUCACAGAUUGGAUUUGUGUUUUGAGAAUCUCCUGCUUACCUAGAGAAGAAGGGCAUCUCCUGGGCCCUCACUGUUGCCUUAAAUGAUUUUUAUUGUGUAUUACUUAAACAUGUGCAAGCAUAAAAUGAGAUAUAAACUCCUUGUAGCUCUUAUACAAGCAUCAGACCAAGACAAAUUGACCCAUCACGUACAAAAUCGAUUCAAAUCAGAUUAAUUUUAUGUGACAUGUUAUUAUGCCUUUUGUCUGAAACCCUGCCACCACCCACAGUGCAAUUAUGGCCCAACCACUGUGGUGUUCUGAAUUUGUGGGACAGAGAAUAUUGGCCUUUUAAACACGUGCAUGCAUGCAUUUGCGUGUGCGCACACACACACAUCCCAAAUGAUUUUUUCCCACUAUAUAUGAAGAACUCCUACAAACCAAAAAGAAAAAGGCAGACAAUUCAAGAGAAAAAUGGGGGAGGGCUUGCAUUAAAGUACUUCAUAACAAGAGUACUUAGGAGGCCAACAAAUACACGAAAAGCUGCUAGCUUCAUGACUCAUGGGGGUGGCUUGGUCAGUUCAGGAUACUGUAACAAAAUACCUUAGACUGGGAAAUUUAUAAACAACGGAAUUUAUUGCUCACAGUUCUGGAGGCUGGGAAGUCCAAGAUCAAGGCAGCAGUAGAUCCGGUGCCUGAGCCCGUUCCCUGCUUCAAACAUGGCACCUUCUUGCUGUAUCCUCACAUGGUGGAAGGGGGAAGACAGUUCUCUGGGGCCUCUUUUAUAAGGGCAGUUAUCCAAUUCACAAGGAUAGAGCCCUCAUGACCUAAUCACCUUUCAAAGAUCCCCAUCUUCUAACACCUUCUAACACCAUCACCUUGGUGAUUAGGUCUUUUUGUUGUUGUUGUUGUUGAGAUGGACUCUCACUCUGUUGCCUAGGCUGGAGUGCAGUGGCGUAAUCUUGGUUCACUGCAACCUCUGCCUCCCGGGCUGAAGUGAUUAUCCUGUCUCAGCCUCCCAAGUGGCUGGGAUUACAGGCGUGUGCCACCAUGCCCGGCUAAUUUUCAUAUUUUUAGUAGAGACAGGGUUUCACCAUGUUGGUCAGGCUGGUCUCGAACUCCUGACCUCAUGAUCCGCCCACUUCGUCCUCCCAAAAUGCUGGGAUUACAGGCAUGAGCCACUGCACCCAGCCGAUUAAGUCUUAACGUAUGAGUUUUUGGGAGAAACUCAAACAUUCGGACAAUAGCAAGGAGAAUACAAAACCACAGUGAGCUACCGCUUCAGACACCAGAGAAGUUUAAGUGAAAAAGACUGGCAAUACCAAGUGCUGAUGAGGAUAUGGAGCAACCAGAACUCUCAGACAUUGCUGAUGGGAAUCUAAAUUAGUAUAACCACCACGAAAGCAUCCGUAAGGUUUAAUUGUGUUGAACACACCCUGCCCUCUGACCAAGCAUUUCCACUCCUGGGCAUACAGGCAAAAGAAAUGCAUCCACGUGUUCAUCAAAAGAUGUAACCUGUGCCAGGUGAGGUGGUUCAUGCCUGUAAUCCCAGCACAUCGGGAGGCCAAGGAGGGAGGAUUGCUUGAGCCCAGAAGUUCGAGAGCAGCCUAGGCAACAAGGCAAAACCUCGUCUCUACUAAAAAGUAGCCAGGCAUGAUGGUAUAUGCCUGUAGUCCCAGCUACUCAGGAGGCCAAGGCAUGCAGAUUGAUUGAACCCGGAAGGUGGAGGCUACAGUGAAUUGUGAUCUCGCCACUGCACUCCAGCCUGGGUGACAGAGCAAGAUCUUGUCUCAAUUAAAAAAAAAGGAAGAAAGAAAGACAUAACCUGGAAUAUUCACACCAACACUAUUCAGGAUAGCCCUAAACUGGAAAGAAUCUGAAUAUCCUCCGGCUUUAGAACAGAGAGAAAUUAUAGACUAUUCAUUCAUACAGGGGAUGAUUGAUCAGCUUUAAGAAUAAACAAACCGUACACAACAAUAUAGAUGAAUCUACAACCUUAAUGUGCAAAAUAGUUCACAUAUAUAAAGGACAAAAACAGGCAAAACUACUCCAUGGUGUUAGAAAUAGGGGUAGAGGUUACCCUCAUGCGGCAGGAGGGUUAGUGAUAGGGGAUUUGGAAGAGGAGGAGCCCAAUGGACUGAACAGCUGAGCUGGAAACAGCAAUUUGUUCCUUAAAGUUCUGAACCCAACUGUUAUCCAGCAUGGAGUCUGUCUGGAGAGGCCAGAUGUGGGGCCUCUCACAGGGGAAUGAGAAGUGCCUCUCAGGGUCCCACCCAUGAUCCCCCUUUCCUUGCCCACACAACCACCAACUGGCAAGUAGUAACCCAGGACCUGUAGCCCCCACUGGCUUGACACAGAGCAUAAUGCAAGCUUUUCCUGCUCCAGGUCCUGGACACCACUUUGCCCUUUGCCCCACACGUACAGCCCCCUGACCAAAAGCUGGGUACUCUGGCUUGACUAGAGGGAGCUAGACUCCAGGAAUAAGUAAGGAGCUGGGCUUCCACGCUAGAGAACAAGAGCUUCUCUGGGGAAAGGGGCUUCCCAUGAAGCCCUGGGGCACUGGGAGAUUAAUGGGCAGACCUCUGGCCUCAGCUUCCAGGGAAGGGGAGGGUGUGGGCCAACAUGCGGUGGCUACACUGACCACAAGCCGAUGACCCCAGCCAGCCUCAGGAUGUCUCAGCUCUAGGCAUGGUUUUUCGUUUUGUUUUGUCGUGUUUUGUUUUUGAGAUGGAACCUCGCUCUGUCGCCUAGGCUGGAGUGAAGUGGCACCAUCUCGUCUCCCUGCAACCUCCACCUCCUGGGUUCAAGCGAUUCUCCUGCCUCAGCCUCCUGAGUAGCUGAGAUUACAUGUGCGUGCCACCUUGCCCAGCUAAUUUUUGUAUUUUUAGUAGAGAUAGGGUUUCAUCAUGUUAGCUAGGCUGGUCUCAAACUCCUGACCUCAAGUGAUCUGCCUGCCUCAGCCUCCCAAAGUGCAAGGAUUACAGGCAUGAGCCACCAUGCCCGGCAUAGGCAUGGUUUUGACAAUCUGUCUCUUUGUGCCCUGGCUCCUUCUCCAACUCCUCUUUGGAGGAGGCACAGGAGGAGGGGUCAUUUCACUGUUCCUGAAAAGUAGACAUAUAACCUACAUGCAACUGCCAGGUGAUAAGGGCCCCAUCUGUCUGGCAUGACGUUGGAGGUCCACAAAGGCUGAUUAGAUGAAUGCUCAGCUCUGGGGCCUCCCCACAGAGCUCACAGACAGGCGUGAAGGAAAGCAGGACUCUUAUUAGAAUAUGUUCAGAGUUUUCACUGAAGAAGCCUCCUGUGUGGGCCAGGCACUGUGCUCAGUGCUUUGAUUCACAGUCUCAUUUAAUUCUCACCAUUUACAGACAAGAAUUCAGCUAAGAUCCUUUUCAAUCAAGUCUGGCAAUAUCUGCCUUUCAAUGGCAGUGCCUAGUCCUUUCAUAUGUAAUAUACUUAUCAUUAUGGGUGGGUUUAAGUUUUAUCAUCUUGCUAUUUGUUAUCUAUUUGUCCCCCCUCUUUUGUUCCUCCUUUACUGCCUUCUAUUUGGUUGAGACUUAAUAAAAUAUUUUAUUCCAUCUUCUCUACUUACUUUUUAGCUAUGCCUCCUUAUAUUUUUGGUUGCUGGAGUGUUACAAUAUGCAUUCUUCAAUAUCCAGUCUACUUUCCAAUAAUAUUACACCACUUCAUGUAUAACGUAAGAACGUUACAAAAAUAUAAUGCCAGGGCUGGGCGCAGUGGCUCACGCCUGUAAUCCCAGCACUUUGGGAGGUCGAGGCGGGCAGCUCACCUGAGGUCAGGAGUUCGAGACCAGCCUGACCAACAUGGAGGAACCCCAUCUCUACUAAAAAUACAAAAUUAGCCGGGCAUGGUGGCUCAUGCCUGUAAUCCCAGCUACUCAGGAGGCUGAGGCAGGAGAGUUGCUUGAACCGGGGAGGUGGAAGUUGCAAUGAGCCAAGAUUGCGCCGUUGCACCCCACACUGGGCAACAAGAGCGAAACUCCGUCUCAAUAAAUAAAUAAAUUAAAUAAACAAAUAUAUAUAUAUAUAUAUAUGUAAUGCCAUCACAUCUUCUCCGGCCUUUGGUGUUAUUGUGGUCAUAUACUUUAUUUUUGUAUGUCUUAUAGAUCCCAG
rnacentral:lncRNA from 1 species